UACAGAGGGGGCAAGCGUUGUUCGGAAUUACUGGGCGUAAAGGGCGCGUGGGCGGCCUGUUAAGUCGAACGUGAAAUCCCCGGGCUCAACCCGGGAACUGCGUCCGAUACUGGCAGGCUUGAAUCCGGGAGAGGGAUGCGGAAUUCCAGGUGUAGCGGUGAAAUGCGUAGAUAUCUGGAGGAACACCGGUGGCGAAGGCGGCAUCCUGGACCGGCAUUGACGCUGAGGCGCGAAAGCCAGGGGAGCAAACGGG
rnacentral:rRNA from 1 species